rnacentral:rRNA from 1 species
CAGGAUGAACGCUAGCUACAGGCUUAACACAUGCAAGUCGAGGGGCAGCAUGUGGUUGCUUGCAACCAAUGAUGGCGACCGGCGCACGGGUGAGUAACGCGUAUCCAACCUUCCCCUUAGUAGAGGAUAGCCCGGCGAAAGUCGGAUUAAUACUCUAUGUUCUUCAAUGCGGACAUCUAAGUUGAAGCAAAGAUUUAUCGCUAAGGGAUGGGGAUGCGUCUGAUUAGGUUGCAGGCGGGGUAACGGCCCACCUGGCCUACGAUCAGUAGGGGUUCUGAGAGGAAGGUCCCCCACACUGGUACUGAGACACGGACCAGACUCCUACGGGAGGCAGCAGUGAGGAAUAUUGGUCAAUGGGCGCGAGCCUGAACCAGCCAAGUAGCGUGCAGGAACCGACUGCCCUAUGGGUUGUAAACUGCUUUUAUCAGGGAAUAAAGUGAGGCACGCGUGCCUUUUUGUAUGUACCUGAUGAAUAAGGACCGGCUAAUUCCGUGCCAGCCGCUGC